rnacentral:rRNA from 1 species
GACGAACGCUGGCGGCGUGCCUAAUACAUGCAAGUCGAGCGGAGUUAGAGGAGCUUGCUUCUCUAACUUAGCGGCGGACGGGUGAGUAACACGUGGGCAAUCUGCCCGUAAGACUGGGAUAACUCCGGGAAACCGGGGCUAAUACCGGAUAAUCCUGACUCUCUCCUGAGAGUCAGUUGAAAGAUGGUUUCGGCUAUCACUUACGGAUGAGCCCGCGGCGCAUUAGCUAGUUGGUAGGGUAAUGGCCUACCAAGGCGACGAUGCGUAGCCGACCUGAGAGGGUGAUCGGCCACACUGGGACUGAGACACGGCCCAGACUCCUACGGGAGGCAGCAGUAGGGAAUCUUCCACAAUGGACGAAAGUCUGAUGGAGCAACGCCGCGUGAGUGAAGAAGGUUUUCGGAUCGUAAAACUCUGUUGUAAGGGAAGAACACGUACGAGAGUAACUGCUCGUACCUUGACGGUACCUUAUUAGAAAGCCACGGCUAACUACGUG